rnacentral:tRNA from 1 species
GGGGCAGUAGCUCAGUUGGGAGAGCGUCGCAUUCGCAUUGCGAAGGCCGUGGGUUCGACUCCCAUCUGCUCCA